rnacentral:tRNA from 1 species
UUCUUUGGUUUGGUUGGUUAAAGCGUUUAUCUAGCGAAUAAGGAGUCGUGGGUUCGAAUCCCAUAAGAA